AUUGUACUCCCACCGAUCCAUAUUGUCUUAGAUUUGUCUAGAUACGGAUGUGUGUAGACAUGUUUUAGUGUGAGGUACAUCCGUAUCUAGAGAAAUCUAAGACAAGUAGUAAUAUGGAUCGGAGGGAGUAUUAA
rfam:Triticum aestivum genome assembly, contig: Triticum_aestivum_CS42_TGACv1_scaffold_556327_7AL